UACAGAGGUCUCAAGCGUUGUUCGGAUUCAUUGGGCGUAAAGGUGCGUAGGCGGCGCGGUAAGUCGGGUGUGAAAUCUCGGAGCUUAACUCCGAAACUGCAUUCGAUACUGCCGUGCUUGAGGACUGGAGAGGAGACUGGAAUUUACGGUGUAGCGUGAAAUGCGUAGAUAUCGUAAGGAAGACCAGUGGCGAAGGCGACUACCUCGGCCUGUUCUUGACGCUGAGGCGACGAAAGCCUAGGGGAGCAAACGGG
rnacentral:rRNA from 1 species